GUAUAGCAAUAGCUACUUGCAUCAUUGUAGAUAUGAUGUAAGAUCGACUAUGUUGAAUAAAAUUCUAGGUAGAAUUAUGAUAAUGACAUUGUCUGCCUAUGUGUCUUGACCAAAUUACGUGCCAGCAGUCGCGGUAAUACGUAGAAGACUAGUGUUAUUCAUGUUUAAUCGGUUUAAAGGGUACCUAGACGGUAGAUCAAGCUUUCUAAUAAAUGAAAAGGACUAAUUUACUAGAGUUACUUAUGAGGGGGUAUUAAAGUACUGCUGGUGUAGAGAUGAAAUUCUGUCAUACCUCUUUUCAAAAGAAAAACCAUGGCACAGGUAUAGGCGAAGGCAUCCCCUUAUGUGAUAACUGACGUUGAGGGACGAAGGCUUUGUGUAGCGAACAGGAUUAGAUACCCCAGUAGUCGAAGCAGAAAAUGAUGAAUGUCAUAGAUUAGAUGUAUAAGUUUAUUCUAUAAAUGAAAGUGUAAGCAUUCCACCUCAUGAGUAAUUUGGCAACAUUGGAACUGAAAUCAUUAGACCGUUUCUGAAACCAGUAGUGAAGUAUGUUGUUUAAUUUGAUGAUCCGCAAAAAACCUUACCACAAUUUGAAUAUUUAUAUUUUUUUUAUUGUUUUUUUCUUAAGAWWUWMUUAAGAGAUAAAUAAUUAAAGAAAAAAAUCAAAAAAGGAAGAAAAUUAAGAAAGAGGCAAUAAGAUAUAUUUACAAGCGUUGCACGGCUGUCUUCAGUUAAUGUCGCGAGACUUUGGUUAGUUCCAUUAAAUUAACGUAAACCCUUACUUUAUUUUUAUAUAGAGUAGUUCCCCGCUAUAUUGGAUAUGAUAACAGG
rnacentral:rRNA from 1 species